GCAUGAAAAAGGAAUCAUGGCGAUUUUCCUAAAAGACCUUUUCGUGGAACCUGUCUCUACAGAUUGGCUUAAAUUUGCCGUCAUUUCAAAUACGCUUUGUGUGUUGUGAAUUUGGUAAAACAAAUCCCGGGAGCUACGAUUUUACGAGAAAUUAUACCCUUAAAAAAACACUAGAAGAAACAUCAGAAGAUUGAGGCAAAGAAAUGUCUUCUGUUCCAAUCAGUACAGCUUACGUUGAGCGAAUACGUAAAAGUGCAGCGGCGAACGGUAACAAAAGAGGAUCUUUUAAACAGAGAGAAGUUGCUGGAAUGGAAGAUAAUCGCCGCGCGACGAAGCCUCACUUCAAUCAUUAUCUUGCGGAUGCGCAAAUGAAGUGGAAAGCCACAACAAAGAAAUUGUUUUCGUUUAUGACAUGAACAGGACUUGGAUUCGUCUUCGAACGGUUUUAUUUUCCAUUUAAUGUAACAACAUUUUGACGAUCUCUGAGGAGGACCCGACCUCUUCAGUAUAAAUAUGGCGACAAAAAAGCAUCGGAUUAACUACCUAAUCUACAUUUUAAAAUUGAAAAUUUGCUUGCUAUAGGUAAUGCAAGAGCGAAAGUGAACUCAAAUGUUACCUCAAGAGAAAACUAAAAAAUUCAUAUUGGUAUUAACCCGAAUUUAUCGCGGUUGGUAAACAUCGAAAUGGGAAGGGUUUGCUUUCCCUGUUUGUGCGGGGCGGAAUGACUGCCGUGAUCUCUGCGCUGGGAAUCUUCUGCAGUGGUAUCAACCCAAAUUUGGCGCGGUUUGUAAACAUCUAUUGAUCACAGAGGAGAAAGAUUUGUAUCCCCCAUUUGUGUCAGCGAGAUAAUUGCCAGGAGUCGUGCUGGGAUCCUUAGGCAUUUAAAUAAAAUGUCUCAGUCUAUGUUACUCAGUUUUCUGUUUGUUUUUAAGUAUAAGUAUAAGUAUAAGGCAAGUUACGAGCGCAAUUUUUGCCGAAAGGAAAUUGAAAAGAAGGAAAUGUUAUCCAUGCCACAAUUUACUUGCAUGAUUUUUUAACAAGGAGUGAAUCAAUCUUUACUUAGGUUAGAAUUUUGUUGUAUGACUGGUAGAAAACGGAAGAAAGCGCGAUCUAGAUACAUUAUGUUUUAGAGAAAAACUCACUAAUAGCUGAUGAAGAUUUGUUACAGGCAUUAAGGUUUAUGCUUAUCAUAAUAUAUGAUAGGAACCACUUUUUCUUCUAAUCUAGAGGUGUUCGAAUUUUUUCGUCGGCAAGACUGCUCAUAACUGAUGCCCAUCAAAGAUAAAAUUUUGUUAGCUGCAACGGUUGAAUAAAUCAUACAUAAUUUGUA